GCAUGUAAUGUGCUCUCUCUUCGGAGCAUCGGUGACAGGUGGUGCAUGGUUGUCGUCAGCUCGUGUCGUGAGAUGUUGGGUUAGUCCUGCAACGAGCGCACCCUUGUCCUUAGUAGCCAGCAAUUCGGUUGGGCACUCUAGGGAGACUGCCCGGGUGAACCGGGAGGAGGUGUGGAUGACGUAACAAAUCAUCAUGCCCCUUAUGAUUUGGGCUACACACGUGCUACAAUGGCGUAAACAAAGGGAAGCAAAUAUGUGAGUAUGAGCAAAUCUCAAAAAUAACGUCUCAGUUCGGAUUGUAGUCUGCAACUCGACUACAUGAAGCUGGAAUCGCUAGUAAUCGCGAAUCAGAAUGUCGCGGUGAAUACGUUCCCGGGUCUUGUACACACCGCCCGUCACACCAUGGGAGUUGGGAAUGCCCGAAGUCUGUGACCCAACCGUAAGGAGGGAGCAGCCGAAGGCAGGCUCGAUAACUGGGGUG
rnacentral:rRNA from 1 species